UUGAAUCUGAAUGAAGGUGGUUUCCUGAUUUUGCAUCUUGAUUUCUCCAUUGGUGUUGGUCUACUUGAGCAGGAAUAGCUUUGUAACAUGAACAGCUGCUGCAGUGAUGCCUUGUCACCCUUCUCAGGGAUGCUGAGCAGGUGAUGGGGAAGAGGAAGGCUGCUGCCCCAUGGGGCUGCCAUCCUGCUGCUUGGCAGAGCAUCCCAGGACCCCGAGCAGCUCACGCAGGUUGUGCGUGCCGUACCAUCUCAUCUGCAGCAGGCAGGAGCUAGCGAGGCAGCGCUGACCAAAGGGCUCGGCUGCAGGCUCCUGUUUCAUCGGAGGCGGCUGAGCGCAGCAGUUAUUCUCUCCUGCUUUCUUCCACACGAGGAUUUUGUGUCUUGGGAUGAGAUACAGAGCUGAAGAGUUAAAUUUUCCUCUGAAAACCCACUGUUCCUCUGGAGAAGGGUGAGGCCAGGCCUGUCCUGAAGCUGAAUGCUCUCCCGUGGUGGAAGGUUGGCUGGAUAACUUCUCCAGUGACAAUCUCAGCCCACAAAUAAGGCUUGAAGGAUAUUACUGCAUUUCCCAAGAGCGCCCAGCUUUUGAAAUGCCAUUUCCCCUGGUAUUAGGAGUUCUGGAAGCUGAAGCCAGCGAGAAGAUCAGUAUCUUUAACUGUAUCAUGAGGAUUUCUUUUGGGAAAAGGCAUCUGUAUAACGAAUUGUCAUGGGCGCACGAAUGACGUGUUGAAAAUCAGCUGAGGGGCAGAGUGUA